rnacentral:rRNA from 1 species
CCUACGGGAGGCAGCAGUAAGGAAUAUUGGUCAAUGGACGAAAGUCUGAACCAGCCAUGCCGCGUGAAGGAUUAAGGCCCUCUGGGUUGUAAACUUCUUUUAUCUGGGACGAAAAAAGGGUAUUCUUACUCACUUGACGGUACCAGAGGAAUAAGCACCGGCUAACUCCGUGCCAGCAGCCGCGGUAAUACGGAGGGUGCAAGCGUUAUCCGGAUUUACUGGGUUUAAAGGGUGCGUAGGUGGGCUUGUAAGUCAGUGGUGAAAUCUCCGGGCUUAACCCGGAAACUGCCAUUGAUACUAUAGGUCUUGAAUUAUCUGGAGGUAAGCGGAAUAUGUCAUGUAGCGGUGAAAUGCUUAGAUAUGACAUAGAACAUCAAUUGCGAAGGCAGCUUACUACGGAUACAUUGACACUGAGGCACGAAAGCGUGGGGAUCAAACAGGAUUAGAUACCCUGGUAGUCCACGCCCUAAACGAUAGAUACUACACAUACANACGAUACACUGUUGUGUNUGNGAGAAGANAUAAGUA